UAACGUGAGCUGUUGUAUGUUUAGCGUCUUUCGCAGAGUAAAUACAGUGUUACGUUCUUGUUGUGUUAAGGGCUGUAAGUUAAUAGCAAAUCACGCGAUCGAAAAGGUAAACAAAUUAUCACGACGACAGAUAUUUAAAAUCUCCCACUCAGAAGAAAGGAUAUUGACAGACUGUAGCGGAGCAUCGGGUGCCCUGGCCUGCAGCAUUGAGACCCAAAAUACAUCUUUUGGUAUAUCUCCGUUUAUGCUCUCGACAUUUUCACAAAGCCAACCUGCAUAUGAGAUGAUGGAGACUGACCCAAACUGAGCACCAUCUCUACAUCUGGGCCACACAGAUACUACACAAACAGACACUGCACACUCUGCAAGACAAACUAAGAGGAGGGAAAGAAAACCAACACUGCAGUCAGCUGAAGAUGUGGAUGAACAACAUGCAGAGGAGGAGACACGUGAGGUUGAAGAUGGUGAGAGACACUGAUGAGGAGACACACAACAUUAAGGAGGUAGCCGAGACAAACUGAGUGUAAAUGGUGUAUGGACAGAUGUGUAGAAGUAAACCGCCUGUUGGAGGAGAACUGACAGCUGCUGUGUGAACUUGAAGAAUACAGGAUGUCUGAUGGAUUUUGUGACAAGAAUGAUGCUCAAGUACCAAACAGUAAAAAAAACACAAAAUCUUAAUAACAAGCACUGACCCUCAACAUGAUACUGGCUUGUGAAGGUGAAGAUGUCACAUUACAGCAUAGAAUUGUAACUGUCUGUUGGGCUCAACAAACCAAUGUCCAACUGUAGUGUAGAAGAGCUGUAGUUGUCAAUAAGAGUUAAAAGCUCAGGUCUAUAAAUGCAUUCUGUGCUUGAUUGAUACAUUCUUUGCAAAUUCCUUCACAUUUUUGUAGCUUUGUUUCUUUCACUGUGUGUAUGAGUGUGUUUUGCUGCUGUUUCAUCCUGUCUCAUGUAAACAAUAUGAUGCAUUACUCCAGAAAAGAAUUUUCCCUCAGUGCCUGAAUAAAAACAUCAUCUGUAUAACUGUAAAUAAAUGGAGGAUGACUUUGGAAAA